GGUUUUUCAGAGUUCCUUGGUUGGACAGACCAGCAAAGAGCUCAAGCUGCCAAAGAAGGUUGGGGAUACCGUUUAGUAUAUACUGCGCGUCUGUUUGGAGUUAUUCUGGCAGCCGAUGCCUUGUUCGUUGGUGCUCAGCAAUUAGGCCAUUAUAUUCAGGAGUUAAGAGGCCAUUAGGAUAUCUCCAUCUGGUUUAUACUUCUCUUCAAAAGAAACUGUAAAUCCUGUUGUGUUGAAAAGAGUAGUUUUUGAAGUAUGCUCGAAUAGUUGGAGUAGUGAAAAUAGACAUCUUUGAUUUCUGAGUAUCUGGCGGUAGAAUUGUUACCCUCAA